AACGAACGCUGGCGGCAGGCUUAACACAUGCAAGUCGAGCGCCCCGCCAGGGGAGCGGCAGACGGGUGAGUACCGCGUGGGAACGUACCUUUUGGUUCGGAACAACUCCGGGAAACUGGAGCUAAUACCGGAUAAGCCCUAACGGGGAAAGAUUUAUCGCCGAAAGAUCGGCCCGCGUCUGAUUAGCUAGUUGGUGAGGUAACGGCUCACCAAGGCGACGAUCAGUAGCUGGUCUGAGAGGAUGAUCAGCCACACUGGGACUGAGACACGGCCCAGACUCCUACGGGAGGCAGCAGUGGGGAAUAUUGGACAAUGGGCGCAAGCCUGAUCCAGCCAUGCCGCGUGAGUGAUGAAGGCCUUAGGGUUGUAAAGCUCUUUUGUCCGGGAAGAUAAUGACUGUACCGGAAGAAUAAGCCCCGGCUAACCUCGUG
rnacentral:rRNA from 1 species